rnacentral:rRNA from 1 species
AACGCGAAGAACCUUACCUGGUCUUGACAUCCACGGAAGUUUUCAGAGAUGAGAAUGUGCCUUCGGGAACCGUGAGACAGGUGCUGCAUGGCUGUCGUCAGCUCGUGUUGUGAAAUGUUGGGUUAAGUCCCGCAACGAGCGCAACCCUUAUCCUUUGUUGCCAGCGGUCCGGCCGGGAACUCAAAGGAGACUGCCAGUGAUAAACUGGAGGAAGGUGGGGAUGACGUCAAGUCAUCAUGGCCCUUACGACCAGGGCUACACACGUGCUACAAUGGCGCAUACAAAGAGAAGCGACCUCGCGAGAGCAAGCGGACCUCAUAAAGUGCGUCGUAGUCCGGAUUGGAGUCUGCAACUCGACUCCAUGAAGUCGGAAUCGCUAGUAAUCGUGGAUCAGAAUGCCACGGUGAAUACGUUCCCGGGCCUUGUACACACCGCCCGUCACGCCAUGGGAGUGGGUUGCAAAAGAAGUAGGUAGCUUAACCUUCGGGAGGGCGCUUACCACUUUGUGAUUCAUGACUGGGGUGAAGUCGUAACAAGGUAACCUUAAUUAAAA